AUUGAACGCUGGCGGCAGGCCUAACACAUGCAAGUCGAACGAGUGGCGGACGGGUGAGUAAUGUCUGGGAAACAGCCUGAUGGAGGGGGAUAACUACUGGAAACGGUAGCUAAUACCGAAUACCAUCAGAUGUGCACAGAUGGGAUGAUCUAGUUGGUGGGGUAACGGGUCACAAAGGCGACGAUACCUCGCUGGGGUGAGGGGAUGAACGGCCACACGUGAACUGAGACACGGUCCAGACUCCUACGGGGUGCAGCAGAGGGGAAUAUUGCACACUGGGCGCAAGCCUGAUGCAGCCAUGCCGCGUGUAUGAAGAAGGCCUUCGGGUUGAAGAUUACUGUCCGCGGGGAAGCGUUACCCGCAGAAGAAGCACCGGCUAACUCCGUGCAAGCCGCCGGGUAAUAC
rnacentral:rRNA from 1 species